rnacentral:lncRNA from 1 species
CUCCGCGACUCUCUCCGCCCACUUUUCCUCUUCCUCCCUACCGACGGUGACGACCGACAAGCCAACGUGAAUGAGACAACGACUGAAGAGAACAGAGAAUUAGAGGUUCACUCAAUCGCUCCUUCUCCUUUCCUUGCUCAAUUGCUGUAUUUUACAUGUUUGCUGAUUUGAGAGAGUGAUAAGCAUGAGUUUAUUUUGCUCUAGGAUUUUUUUUUUUUUCUGAAGUCUGUUUCGUGAUUG